AAGGAUUUAAGUUAAAAAAACUAUUAACCUUCAAAGUUAAAAUUAUUAUUGCAAAUAAGCCUUA
rnacentral:tRNA from 1 species